ACUAAGCGUACACGGUGGAUGCCCUGGCAGUCAGAGGCGAUGAAGGACGUGCUAAUCUGCGAUAAGCGUCGGUAAGGUGAUAUGAACCGUUAUAACCGGCGAUUUCCGAAUGGGGAAACCCAGUGUGAUUCGUCACACUAUCAUUAACUGAAUCCAUAGGUUAAUGAGGCGAACCGGGGAACUGAAACAUCUAAGUACCCCGAGGAAAAGAAAUCAACCGAGAUUCCCCCAGUAGCGGCGAGCGAACGGGGAGCAGCCCAGAGCCUGAAUCAGUGUGUGUGUUAGUGGAAGCGUCUGGAAAGGCGUGCGAUACAGGGUGACAGCCCCGUACACAAAAAUGCACAUACUGUGAGCUCGAUGAGUAGGGCGGGACACGUGGUAUCCUGUCUGAAUAUGGGGGACCAUCCUCCAAGGCUAAAUACUCCUGACUGACCGAUAGUGAACCAGUACCGUGAGGGAAAGGCGAAAAGAACCCCGGCGAGGGAGUGAAAAAGAACCUGAAACCGUGUACGUACAAGCAGUGGGAGCACGCUUAGGCGUGUGACUGCGUACCUUUUGUAUAAUGGGUCAGCGACUUAUAUUCUGUAGCAAGGUUAACCGAAUAGGGGAGCCGAAGGGAAACCGAGUCUUAACUGGGCGUUAAGUUGCAGGGUAUAGACCCGAAACCCGGUGAUCUAGCCAUGGGCAGGUUGAAGGUUGGGUAACACUAACUGGAGGACCGAACCGACUAAUGUUGAAAAAUUAGCGGAUGACUUGUGGCUGGGGGUGAAAGGCCAAUCAAACCGGGAGAUAGCUGGUUCUCCCCGAAAGCUAUUUAGGUAGCGCCUCGUGAAUUCAUCUCCGGGGGUAGAGCACUGUUUCGGCAAGGGGGUCAUCCCGACUUACCAACCCGAUGCAAACUGCGAAUACCGGAGAAUGUUAUCACGGGAGACACACGGCGGGUGCUAACGUCCGUCGUGAAGAGGGAAACAACCCAGACCGCCAGCUAAGGUCCCAAAGUCAUGGUUAAGUGGGAAACGAUGUGGGAAGGCCCAGACAGCCAGGAUGUUGGCUUAGAAGCAGCCAUCAUUUAAAGAAAGCGUAAUAGCUCACUGGUCGAGUCGGCCUGCGCGGAAGAUGUAACGGGGCUAAACCAUGCACCGAAGCUGCGGCAGCGACGCUUAUGCGUUGUUGGGUAGGGGAGCGUUCUGUAAGCCUGUGAAGGUGUGCUGUGAGGUAUGCUGGAGGUAUCAGAAGUGCGAAUGCUGACAUAAGUAACGAUAAAGCGGGUGAAAAGCCCGCUCGCCGGAAGACCAAGGGUUCCUGUCCAACGUUAAUCGGGGCAGGGUGAGUCGACCCCUAAGGCGAGGCCGAAAGGCGUAGUCGAUGGGAAACAGGUUAAUAUUCCUGUACUUGGUGUUACUGCGAAGGGGGGACGGAGAAGGCUAUGUUGGCCGGGCGACGGUUGUCCCGGUUUAAGCGUGUAGGCUGGUUUUCCAGGCAAAUCCGGAAAAUCAAGGCCGAGGCGUGAUGACGAGGCACUACGGUGCUGAAGCAACAAAUGCCCUGCUUCCAGGAAAAGCCUCUAAGCAUCAGGUAACAUCAAAUCGUACCCCAAACCGACACAGGUGGUCAGGUAGAGAAUACCAAGGCGCUUGAGAGAACUCGGGUGAAGGAACUAGGCAAAAUGGUGCCGUAACUUCGGGAGAAGGCACGCUGAUACGUAGGUGAAGCGACUUGCUCGUGGAGCUGAAAUCAGUCGAAGAUACCAGCUGGCUGCAACUGUUUAUUAAAAACACAGCACUGUGCAAACACGAAAGUGGACGUAUACGGUGUGACGCCUGCCCGGUGCCGGAAGGUUAAUUGAUGGGGUUAGCGCAAGCGAAGCUCUUGAUCGAAGCCCCGGUAAACGGCGGCCGUAACUAUAACGGUCCUAAGGUAGCGAAAUUCCUUGUCGGGUAAGUUCCGACCUGCACGAAUGGCGUAAUGAUGGCCAGGCUGUCUCCACCCGAGACUCAGUGAAAUUGAACUCGCUGUGAAGAUGCAGUGUACCCGCGGCAAGACGGAAAGACCCCGUGAACCUUUACUAUAGCUUGACACUGAACAUUGAGCCUUGAUGUGUAGGAUAGGUGGGAGGCUUUGAAGUGUGGACGCCAGUCUGCAUGGAGCCGACCUUGAAAUACCACCCUUUAAUGUUUGAUGUUCUAACGUGGACCCGUGAUCCGGGUUGCGGACAGUGUCUGGUGGGUAGUUUGACUGGGGCGGUCUCCUCCUAAAGAGUAACGGAGGAGCACGAAGGUUGGCUAAUCCUGGUCGGACAUCAGGAGGUUAGUGCAAUGGCAUAAGCCAGCUUGACUGCGAGCGUGACGGCGCGAGCAGGUGCGAAAGCAGGUCAUAGUGAUCCGGUGGUUCUGAAUGGAAGGGCCAUCGCUCAACGGAUAAAAGGUACUCCGGGGAUAACAGGCUGAUACCGCCCAAGAGUUCAUAUCGACGGCGGUGUUUGGCACCUCGAUGUCGGCUCAUCACAUCCUGGGGCUGAAGUAGGUCCCAAGGGUAUGGCUGUUCGCCAUUUAAAGUGGUACGCGAGCUGGGUUUAGAACGUCGUGAGACAGUUCGGUCCCUAUCUGCCGUGGGCGCUGGAGAACUGAGGGGGCUGCUCCUAGUACGAGAGGACCGGAGUGGACGCAUCACUGGUGUUCGGGUUGUCAUGCCAAUGGCACUGCCCGGUAGCUAAAUGCGGAAGAGAUAAGUGCUGAAAGCAUCUAAGCACGAAACUUGCCCCGAGAUGAGUUCUCCCUGACCCUUUAAGGGUCCUGAAGGAACGUUGAAGACGACGACGUUGAUAGGCCGGGUGUGUAAGCGCAGCGAUGCGUUGAGCUAACCGGUACUAAUGAACCGUGAGGCUUAACC
rnacentral:rRNA from 1 species